rnacentral:rRNA from 1 species
CAACUUGUUGGCAGAAUCUGAGGAUUGUUGCGGGACUUGGUGGUGGACUUUAUUGACCGCUGCUAAUGUUCCCGCAUAGCGUGCCUUGAAUAAAGCAUAGUGCUCAAAACAGGCGAAUGCUUGAGUGUGCUAGCAUGGAACGAAUAUACGCCACAUUGUGGUUGGUUAAGAGGAACAUUAGAGGGUGUUAGUACUUGGUGGCGAGAGGUAAAAUUCUUAGACCCACCAAAGACGGACUAUUGCGAAGGCAUUCACCAAGAGUGUUUUCAUUAAUCAAGAACGAAAGUUGAAGGUUCGAAGACGAUCAGAUACCGUCCUAGUUUUAACUGUAAACUAUGCUAACACGGGACUAGCCCGCUACCUAGUUGGUUAAUCCCCCCGCGAAAGCUAUAGUUUUCGAGUUGUGGGGAUAGUAUAGUCGCAAGGCUGAAAUUUAAACGAAAUUGACGGAAAGGCACCACCAGGAGUGGAGCCUGCGGCUUAAUUUGACUCAACACGGGGCAACUUACCAGGUCCAGACAUUGGGAGGAUUGACAGACUGAUGGAUCUUUCAUGAUUCAAUGAUUGGUGGUGCAUGGCCGUUCUUAGUUGGUGGAGUGAUCUGUCAGGUUGAUUCCGGUAACGAACGAGAUUCCAAUCCCUAGUUUCCUUCUCCGUCGACCUAUACGAUGCGGAGUGAAUAGGGAGACUGCACUCGCAAGAGUGAGGAAGUGGAGCAAUAACAGGUCUGUGAUGCCCUUCGAUGUCCUGGGCUGCACGCGCGCUACAAUGAAAGCAGCAAAAAGUUCCUGCUCUGAUAAGAAUGGGUAAUCUUGUAAUCGCUUUCGUGCUAUGGAUUGAGCAUUGUAAUUAUUGCUCAUGAAAGAGGAAUUCCUCGUAAGCAUGAGUCACCAACUCGUGUUGAAUAUGUCUCUGCCUUUUGUACACACCGCCCGUCGCUACUACCGAUUGAAUUUAUUUGUGAAAAGUAAGGAUUUGUUGUGCCAUUUUUGACACGACAAAGAGAAACUUUGAAUUAAAAAAUUACUAGGAAGUAAAAGUCGUAAC